UACGUAGGGUGCGAGCGUUAAUCGGAAUUACUGGGCGUAAAGCGUGCGCAGGCGGUUCUGAAAGUCAGCUGUGAAAGCCCCGGGCUUAACCUGGGAACUGCGGUUGAAACUACAGGACUAGAAUCUGGCAGAGGGGGGUGGAAUUCCACGUGUAGCAGUGAAAUGCGUAGAGAUGCGGAGGAACACCGAUGGCGAAGGCAGCCCCCUGGGCUAACACUGACGCUCAGGCACGAAAGCGUGGGGAGCAAACAGG
rnacentral:rRNA from 1 species